CAUAUGCAUGUUCUCAUCCAUGGGCUCAUACCCAGUCCAAAGGACUUCACCCCAGCUCCAUCUUUGCCCAGACACACCUGGGGCUGUAGGGUUUUUGAUGUUUGUCCCCUCCAACUCUCAUGUUAAAGUGGGAUCCCCAAUGUUGGAGGUGAGGCCUGGGGAGGUGUUUUGGUCGUGGGAGGAGAUUCCUCAUAAAUGUCUUGGUGCCCUCUCCAUAGUAAUAAGUGAGUUGUCACCCUGUUAGUUUGUGCAAGAGCUGGUGACUUGAGUCUGGCAUCUUUCCUGUUCCCUGUCUUGCCAUGUGAUGUGACUGCUCCUCCUUUGCCUUC
rnacentral:lncRNA from 1 species